rnacentral:lncRNA from 1 species
AGUGACUCUAAAUUUCCCCUGAAGAGCAAAAUGCUGUCUGUGUCUCACUCAAUGUGGUGGCUGCUACAGGAGGAUCUUCCCAGGCCUUCUCAGGGAAUUCCCAUCAGGAUCACAGGAAUGGUACCUGGCAGACACAACCCAGUCUGCACCUUCCAUGGGCCACAGCUGAUGGUACGAGGAGAGGUGUGACAUCUGCCUGACCUCAGCUCUGGGGGUUCCUGUGGGUGGACAGAAGGAGCCCUGGAGGCCCGGCCAGGAUGCGUCAUCUGUGGCUACCACGUGGAUUCUCUGGUGUGCUGAGUCAAGGCAGCGAUCUUCCAAGUGUGGUCGCUGUACCUCCAUCAGCACCUCCUGGGACUUGUCAGGACGCUGACCCGGGCCCCAGCCAAGUUCUGCUGCUGCCUCAGGGGGACAGAGGCAGGGCCUCACUGUCUGAUGAUCCAGCCCUGCAGGGGGCCCGCUGCACCUGCAGGUGUGAGAGCCGCCGCUGAAUUAAGGUGACUGGAAGGUUUCAGGGCAUGGGAGGGAGGUAGAUCAUUUGGGGCUGAGAAGCACUUUUGCAUCUCUUUCCUGCCCAGAAGCGACCAGAGAGGCCAGGCAUUGUCACCUGGAGACUUUGGAAAUGAAGCCCUGAGCUGAUCUAAUAAUUUCUGGCAAAUUCUAUGGGGUUGCUUCAUGAAUUAGGAAAAGCCAUAGAAACUCAAGUGUAAAUCGUGUGUUAUAUCCCAGGGCCGCGCGCUUAAUGUGGACUGUGGAGCUUGUACGCAGCCUGUCACACCCUGCCAGCCUCAAUACGGCUCUCCUUACCCCGGGCCUCUGCACGCACAUAUGAAAGGCAACCUCACCUCUGUGGCUUGCAUGGUUCAGCGAUUCAUACUGUGUUAGUAUUCCUAAUCUAUUUCUAAGUAACUUAAUUUUUCUCGAAAAUAGUAAUUUAAAAUGUUGUCCAUAUAGAUGAAUAACAAUCAGAAAACUUUCCUUAGGGAUGCUAAAACAUCAUUAAUUAGCAAUAAAACAAAUUUAAGUUUUA